GCGUGAAGCUGGAAUCGCUAGUAAUCGCGGAUCAGCAUGCCGCGGUGAAUACGUUCCCGGGCCUUGUACACACCGCCCGUCACACCACGAGAGUUUGUAACACCCGAAGUCGGUGAGGUAACCUUUUUGGAGCCAGCCGCCGAAGGUGGGACAGAUGAUUGGGGUGAAGUCGUAACAAGGUAGCCGUAUCGGAAGGUGCGGCUGGAUCACCUCCUUU
rnacentral:rRNA from 2 species